rnacentral:lncRNA from 1 species
UAAAUAAACUAUUAUCACCAAACUGCAUAUUAUAACAAUUUUGCACCCAUAUGAAGGUUUUAAGAAAUCAGAUGUCCAAAAAGAAACACAAAAACUUUAAAUAUAAGGUAUACAUAAGCAAGCCAUUGCCCCAUUGUACUAAUAUACAAAUACUAGAUUUUUUGCCCGAGUUGCUGGGCUCUUCAAAUUAACAAAGAAAUAAUUUGAUACUUGUUUUGCCAUGAUUCAUGAAAAUAGUAAUGCGAAGCUGCACGUUAGAUUACAUAUAUAACGUUAGAGUACAUGUUGCAGAAUAUGCCGAGGAGAUCAAAUGCAAAGAUAGCCACAGUAGCGAGUUCCCAUACAUUAUUACAGAAUAGUAUAAUAACUAAGAUAAAGAACAUAACGGAUCAACAGGCCAAGCAUCUUCAGGUUGUGGAAGUAGCAGAUCCUUUUGUUUGAGUCCUUGUACUUGAUUAGCUCAGUGGUUGUUACACCAAUUUGCCAACAUGUAUCCAUGCAUACUUAUUUAAGUUCACAGGCUCAAAUUCAUCUUUCAAUUUUGUUGUUUAAAGUACAAACCUUAACGCGUUCCUCAGAUCCUCGACAGGCUCAUGAUUAUGAUUUAUGAAGAAUCUUGUUGCUUGCAAGUUUGACAACUUUGGCUCACCUAAAACAUUAAUGUUACAAUGUUUUAUGAAUAUAGAGGUAAUUGCAUAUCGCACCCCCUAAGUAUCGUUCAAAAACGAUAGAGUACCUAUACUUUAAGAAAUUCAACUCGCACCCCUUAUCUUUACUUCUCAAAACCGAGAUGCGCCCCCUGCCGUUAACUUCCGUUAACUCAGUGCAUUCCGUUAAGUCACUAUAUAUAUAAUUGCAAUUCAGACCCCCUAACUUACGUUCAAAAACGAUAUUGUACCCGUACUUUUAAAAACCCAAAUCGCACCACCUAUCUUUAUAUUUCAAGAACGAUACGCACCCCCUCCGUUGAAUUCCGUUACCUUCCGUUAAAAUACUCUUCCGUCUCAAUUUAUAUGUCCCUUUUGCUUUUUAAGAAGUCAAAUUGACUAAUUUUUGACCAACUAUUAAAAAAAGUAAAUCUAGUCUAUUUGUUUUCACAAAUAAUAGAGGGCCCGAAUUUCGCAAAUAAUAGAGUUAAUUGCAAUUCGGACCCCCUAUUAUUUACCUCUAUUAAAAUAGGCUAGAUUUACUUUUUGAUGAUAUUUUUUUAAAACAAAAUCUAGUAUAUUUUAAUAUGUAACUUUCUAUUUUCUAAAAUAAUAAAUAAAUAUUGUUUUAAUAAGUUGAUCAAAAAUUAGUCAAUUUGACUUCUCAAAAAGCAAAAGGGACAUGUAAAUUGAGACGGAAGAGUAUUUUAACGGAAGGUAAGGGAAUUCAUCGGAGGGGGUGCGUAUCGUUCUUGAAAUGUAAAGAUAGGUGGUGCGAUUUGGGUUUCCAAAAGUACGGGUACAAUAUCGUUUUUGAACGUAAGUUAGGGGGUCCGAAUUGCAAUUAUAUAUAUAGUGACUUAACGGAGUGCACUGAGUUAACGGAAGUUAACGGCAAGGGGUGUAUCUCGGUUUUGAGAAGUAAAGAUAAAGGGUGCGAGUUGAGUUUCUUAAAGUAUAGGUACUCUAUCGUUUUUGAACGAUACUUAGGGGGUGCGAUAUGCAAUUACCUCAUGAAUAUAUUAGAAAACAUAAAUGUAAUUUUUUGAGAACUACCUUGUAUGAAUUUUGCUUUACAGCUUGAGAUGAUAACGAUUAUUCGAUGUUCGUCAGCAGCAUUGAGUCGUUGAGCAAAAGAUUGAGCCAUUUCAUUGUAGAAUGUAACUUCCGCCCAAGUGCUAUUAAGAGAUGGAUAAAAAGUUUGAAUCCUCCACCAUGUAAUAUUUCUAUAAGAUUAGUGAUUAAAAAGCGAAACACAAACUGCAUAUCAUUGAUUGUAAACUGGAUGCAGGAUUUUUCUUCAUUAUAUUUGUUUCUGAAGUUCAUGAUUGAUUGUACUUGUUCCAGAAUGCCAACAACAUCUGUAUAAUAAGAAACCAUAUAUUUAGAAAUAGAUGCACUCGCUUUGUUGUAGGCUUGUACUUGACAAACACGACUCACCGAUCAGGAAGGUGUCUUCCAAUACAGCAUUGAUUAUAGCGCACAACUCAGUAAAUUGAAAGACAUGAGGCGGGAUGUAAUCCACACCUCCAGUCACAAAGACCUCAGUCAUAUGAUACAGUUGGAUAUAAAUAUCAUUCAUGACCAAACGCCCCUCUAUAACUGCUACAGAUAUUUAAAAUCGUAAUGACGGACUAAAGAUUUUCUGGCCAGACUUUCUACCCAUAUCUAGUGGGUAUGCACUUGAAGCCCAUCUAUCCAUAAUCCACCAGACCACCACAAACGAUAAAUAAACUAUUAUCACCAAACUGCAUAUUAUAACAAUUUUGCACCCAUAUGAAGGUUUUAAGAAAUCAGAUGUCCAAAAAGAAACACAAAAAACUUUAAAUAUAAGGUAUACAUAAGCAAGCCAUCGCCCCAUUGUACUAAUAUACAAAUACAAGUGCCAGAAACUUGUGAGGUAACAUUUAGUAAUGAAUGCACCCCGUAAUCCACUUGUUGCUCUAAGAGUCUCAUGAGGAAGCCAUGGAAUCUUUGGUCAUU